rnacentral:lncRNA from 1 species
CAGUAUCCUUCUUUGCCACACUGAUAAGAAGUAUCUUUGGUGGAGACUUUCUUCACCUUCUUCUUGGAGAUGCUAGCUUUAGGAUUUAAUUUUUUCUUAGAACCCUUCUUACCUUUCUUUUUGAAGAUCUUAUCCACAAGAAGAUGUCAUGAUCUGACUGAAAGCUGGAGUCAGUGAACUCCACAAGUUUCAAGUCAGUUUCACCAUACACAAGCCAC